GGACUUUUCACUCGGGAAUGCUCAGAACCGUCCCAGGACUGCCUUGAGAACCUGCACAAAGGGACGGCCUGAGACCUGCAGGCCCUCGGGUCAACAGCCAGUCUUGAACUGGAGAGGUGACAAAGUCACAGUUACUACUAAUACUACUGAAGAUUGAUGCCUGCAGACAUAAUUGAAGAGGAGACGAUAGUUUAAUUAGAGGCAAACCAAAGCCUCAAAGGAAUGCCACAUCCCACUUCAUUAUUAUCGCCUGCAUCAGAGAACAUGGAGCCAAGCAAACUGAACUCAGUACUCAAUGAUCAAGCCAUGGGUGAUGACCUUGAGAGCCUGAAUCUGAAACCCAUGAGAAAGACCCUGAACCUGGUCCUUUUGCUCAACCUCAGUAGAAGGGAGAUCCGAAACCGAAUCUGUAGGAUGGUGACAAAUAAUCCAGGUUUUAAUUUGUUGAAAUUUAUCCGAAGCAACUACUCAUUUUGCUUUUACCCUGAAUAAGAUGUUUCAUCUGUAGCAACAGCUAAGCUAUCCUUCAGUUCUGACUACGCCUAGGGGUGAUCAUAACAGCGGCUGGUGCAUGUUGAAUGUUUUCUAUGAGCCUGGCACUGUGGUAGAUGCUCCUGUAUCAUCUCUUGGAACCAACAACGUGCACGGGUCAGUUCUCAGCAGAAAUGGGAAUAACCUGCUCAUAACUGGGAAGAUUUACGUUCAGCUCUGCCCACACGCGUGUCUCCAACCCAUUUCUACAGGUAAGAAGGAGCCUCUGGCUGGCCAGAGAUGGCUUCUUCGAGGAAACCCACCUUUGCAAUUUCCCAACUCAGAUCAAGUCACGAGUUCUAACCUGUUUGCCUAUAAACUAGGAUUUGAAGGAAGUUUUCCCACUUCUGGGAGACUAGCAGGAGGA